rnacentral:rRNA from 1 species
AUACGUAGGGGGCGUGCGUUGUCCGGAAUGAUUGGGCGUAAAGGGCGCGUAGGCGGCCCGGUAAGUCUGGAGUGAAAGUCCUGUUUUUAAGAUGGGAAUUGCUUUGGAUACUGUCGGGCUUGAGUGCAGGAGAGGUAAGUGGAAUUCCCAGUGUAGCGGUGAAAUGCGUAGAGAUUGGGAGGAACACCAGUGGCGAAGGCGACUUACUGGACUGUAACUGACGCUGAGGCGCGAAAGUGUGGGGAGCAAACAGGAUUAGAUACCCUGGUAGUCCACACUGUAAACGAUGAAUGCUAGGUGUAGGGGGUAUCGACCCCUUCUGUGCCGCAGUCAACACAAUAAGCAUUCCGCCUGGGGAGUACGGCCGCAAGGUUGAAACUCAAAUGAAUUGACGGGG